ACUGCUUCUUGUGUCAUUUCCCACUUUUUGAAGGCAACGCACGACGACUUGCAAUUUUCAGAAGUGGAGAAAGUUAGUGAAACUUUUUCUGUGCUGUACUGGCCAAAGCUACAGGAAACAAAUAUUUCAGGUCAGCUUCAAAUAUUCUUGUACUGACCCGUGCAAUGUUUUUGGUUCUACAGGCCCCUGGUUUUUAGCAAUAAAGAAAACAUACUUUCUCUUGGAAGAGAACUUAUAGUUUAGUCAAGGUUCGUUAAAUUCAUGUUCAUAAGAUUUAGGUAAAACAGUUAAAUGCCAUGAACUCUCUCUUGGUUGAAUUGCCAUCAAACUUACUCAAAAACUAUAGAUUUCACGGAAUAGACCUUUCAGAGUCUCGAAAGAAACAGGGUUGAAAACAAGUAGCAGUGACUGCAGCAUCCAAUCCAAUUCACAUGAACAGGGAGAGUACCACUACCAUCAGACAAUUCCAUGGAGUCAAGCAAUCAGCCAAUGGCUGGAAAAUUGGGGACCACGGAACUCAUGGUUAACCUGAGAGUGACUGGGGUUUUUCACAAUUGGUCUUUCGGUGAGAUAAGAUUUGCCCCACUUUGUCCGCAGGGAAAAAAACCAUGCGAAGAACCAAUGAUUAUAUUGAUUUUGGAUAACUUCUGACAGGAUUAAUACCUCGGAAUCACCAAGGUUCCCUCAAAUUCUAUUGAUCAUCAGCUUGAUUUAUUCCAACACGGUUUUGGUAAGGUAUAGGAUGAAACAGUGCGAGUGUAAACAAACAUUUUGCAUCUCUUUGUUGUGCUGGUAAAAUAACUUUGAGGCAAGUGGGGGUGGUUGAUGCAUUCCAUUUGCCAUCAAUCCAUUGGAGAUAAAGGGCGAAUCCGAAGAGGGGGCGGCUUAAAAAUAGUAAUAUUUAAAACCCAAAAAGGUAUUGAGGCGUGCAGUGCGUUUCUUAUUGCUUGAUUCGGAAGCCUUCAUCCUCCUCUGGAAGUCAGCCUUUGUGACUCCAACUCACCAAUCCAUCAUCCCCCCCCUGCCAAGAACCAAAACACGCCACUACCUUGAAGCUAAAAAGUCUCGGUUCACCUUUAAAGCAGCAUGGCAUGACUUGGUGUUCCAUUCUCAUUGACUUACCUAACUAACAGGAUAACAUACCAUGUUUCAUUCCUUUGUCUUCACUAAGCAACCAGCUGGUGGCACACACCUCUUUUUCUUGCUUCAGAAAACACUUGAGAGAACGUAAGCAAGCACCUCUUUCUUUUUCAUUGUUUAUCCUCUUUACUUUCCAUCAGUAGUGCAAGCAUCUCUGUUUUCAUUUUUUACCCUCUUCCUUUGUUCCCUGUCAUGGGUUUUCCCUAUGCCUUCUCUGAUUUUCUAAGGUCAUCUAAUAAAAAAAAACAAAGAUGGGUUUUUUUUAUUACUACGCAAUCUUUUCAUAUAGCGUAGAAAAAAGGGGAAAAGAUAGACUUUGUUUAUAAUAAUAUCAAAGACAAUCACUUUCUAUGUACAUUCCAAUGAAAAAGAAGAUAAAAUUUUUGUCAUAGUUUAUCUCAAAAGGCUAUUUUUUACUUCUCCUUUAUGGAAGAGAGGGGUUGGUCAGGGCUAGUUGAUAAAACUUGGUAGGCAAGGUGUAUACGUUGCAAAAUUUCAAGUUUCCAAAGGACAACUUCUUGGGGUCCAGUCAAGAAUGUUGGUAGAGAAAAGAAAGAUCUUGGGUCUAUGAUUGUUUGAUGGUAACUGGGUGUCAUCUUGAUUUGGAAUCUUCUUCUUCUUGUUCUUUUUAUUUUCUUGGGGGUCUGUAGUACAUAUUCACUAGCCAAAAAGUAGAUAUAUAUGUUGAGAAAACUUGUUGUCAGAAUCAGACAAAGAAUCAACAGGAGAUGUAGCAACAAAAAGAGGUACAGGGGGCAAUAGCCAUGGAGCGAUUGGCUGGUCUUUCUACGAUGGAAACAGCAUUUGAUUCGUUUACUUGGACUUGAGAAAAAGUUUAUGAAACCAUUGGGAGCUAGUGGUACAGAUUUAAAGGAAAACCAAUUAUAUAAAAACAAACACAUCAUCAGAUUCAACAAUCCAAUACCUUCCACGUUGGUUCCCCCAUGAUAUGAUAGUCAUGCUGCAUGCUAAAUGGCAUAGAGCCCCGGACGUGCAUCCCAGAUGGCAGAGGUUACACAUCAUCAGAUUCAACAAUCGAAUACCUUCCACGUUGGCUACCCCAUGAUUUGAUAGUCAUGCUGCAUGCUAAAUGGCAUAGAGCCCCGGACGUGCAUCCCAGAUGGCAGAGGUUUGCGUGCGCAUGGCUAGCUUUGGAGGGCUUUCGAGGUUCCACCGCUCACAUAUGGGUUGUUGGAAGUGGCCCGUGAUGGGGUUCAUUGGGUCCAGAGUUGACAAGGGUUGGUGCCUCGGAAAUGGCUAGAACCAGAGGGGUGGAGAUGAGAUCCUGGUGAUCAAACCCAACUAAAACUUGCAUGGUCUCCAGGGGAUGUUCGAUAUUUUUUCUUGAUGUUGAUAAGGAAUCAGAAUAAAGCAGGAUAAGCAUUCUGUGAUAGGUGGUGUCUAUUCCUGAGUGAUGCAACAACGAUGGAAUAUAUUGUGAUGCCUUUCCAUUACCAUACCUAACUAGCACAGAUAUUCGUCCUGUAUACAAACCCCAGAGAAAAGGUAAGGGGGUAAACCUAGGAAGAUAAUGAUGUUUAACUAAUUUGCAGACAAGGAAUUUAAAAAGAAAUCGACAGAAAACUAAGAUCACUGUCAUUUAAGAGUA
rnacentral:sRNA from 1 species